rnacentral:rRNA from 1 species
AUACGGAGGAUGCGAGCGUUAUCCGGAUUUAUUGGGUUUAAAGGGAGCGUAGGUGGGAUAUUAAGUCAGCUGUGAAAGUUUGGGGCUCAACCUUAAAAUUGCAGUUGAUACUGGUUUCCUUGAGUACGGUACAGGUGGGCGGAAUUCGUGGUGUAGCGGUGAAAUGCUUAGAUAUCACGAAGAACUCCGAUCGCGAAGGCAGCUCACCGGGCCGGAACUGACACUGAUGCUCGAAAGUGCGGGUAUCAAACAGGAUUAGAUACCCCGGUAGUCCGCACAGUAAACGAUGAAUACUCGCUGUUUGCGAUACACUGUAAGCGGCCAAGCGAAAGCGUUAAGUAUUCCACCUGGGGAGUACGCCGGCAACGGUGAAACUCAAAGGAAUUGACGGGG